GCCCCAUGUGCUCUGCAGUGAUGAGAUCCGUAUGGGUGACAAUAAAUUAAUUAUAAUGUCACACAGUGAAAGAUUCAUGUCGCGUCUCUCUCUUCAUGAACUGAAAGAAUUUGCAGUCUUGCAAUCAUAGAUCAUUAAUAUACACUACAUCAUGUGCCUACAGAGUGCCGUCCAAGGAAAGAGCUAUUGUUGAAACACCUUACGUCUCUGGUGUACAGGAGAAACUCCGGUGAUAGACAGGGCUGCCCUAUUUACAGCCAGAAUCACACAGCAAGACGAUAUGGCUGACGAAUAAGAGAGACAUCAGCACUGUUUUUCUGAGGACAAUGGAUCCAAAAAAAGAAAAGAAAAGAGAAAAAGAAGGGCUGGAUUCACGGAUUGUCAAGUUCUGCCGUGCGAGUCAGCCACGUCUUCUUCUUGUGUGUGUGUGAGUGCAACCUUGUACGUGUGACUGUGCGUGUGUGUGUGUGUGUGUGUGUGUGUGUGAGAGAGAGAGAGACAGUGUGAGUGUGUGGGUGUCAGUGUGUGUGUGUGUGUGUGUGCGUUUAAGCAUUUGUGCCCAAGUGCAACCUUGUAUGGGUGAGUGUGAAUGAGUGUGUGUGUGUGCUAUUUUGACUGUAUGUGUGUGUGUGUGUGUGUGUGUGUGUGUGUGUGUGUGCGUGUGUGUGUGUGCGCGUGCGUGUAUGAGCAUUCCGUCAUUCACAGCACAGGAGCACCUGAACAGGCACCAGCUGGCAGAGUGAGAGAUGGCUCCACUGCCAAGGAGAGGAGACUUGAUGGAAGCCCGGAUUCAUUAAAACUUAAUUAAUAUGCAUCAUUAUGUAAAUGAGGUUGCAGUUAAUGAGUUUUUAAAAGAAGCAUUCCUUAAUUAGUUCACUUUUAAUGGCAUCAUCAUUUAUCUUUUUCUUCUUUGAAGCAGAAUGAUGCGCUCGAUGCGAAGCGGUUCUAAAAUGCUAAUCUAUGUUUUAUCAUUUUAUUUUUCUGAUUUCAAUGUGAUCGCCAAGACAUCCAGAAUCUUGUCACUAAUGAGCCACGUUUGUGUUAUAAUGUCACUUAUUUCAAUUUAAGAUUAUGCAAAUUUUCAAAGUAGUGAAGAAAUUCACAAAACGGAAUAUCCUUUAAAAUCAUAUAGAAUUUACUAAUUAAAAACCAAUAAAAAAAAAGUGUUUUGCCCACAGGAAGUUAAACUAUCACCUUUAGCUACUUGAAAACUCAAUCUUUUUUUUCUCCAAUUGGGGAAAAAAUAAAUUAUCUCAGCCAUUUUCUUUCCCAGAGAAGAAAACACUGAGUAGGUGUCAGAAGACAAAACCAGUCGACUUCUGACAAUGUCACACCUCUAGAUAAUUGGCCCUCGAUACUUCCUGUUAAAAGCAUGCAAACUUCCUGUUUUAGAAAGGUCCCAAUAAAAACUUUCUUCACAGUGUUGCACCUCAGCCAACACCAUAUAUUUCUUUAUUUAUUCUCUGUUAUGCCUAUUCAUUCCCCCUUCCCCCCCCCCACAAACACACACAUACACACAUAAACACACUGACACACACAGCUAUUAAAAUGUUAGGAAAUACUGCAAAAUGCAUUUUGACCUGGUUAUAAUGAUGAAAAUAGAAAAUGUACAAGUUAAAUAAAAUUAUAAUGACAAUAAUAGUAAAUUGCUUCGUGCUUUUAUUUUAUUUUAUCAAGUAAUAUGUAUAGUUUUGAUAUUUUGUUAAUGCUGUUUGUUUACGUGAAAAUAAAGAGUCCAAUAUCCAAAUACAUCUGUGAAAAAGUGUGUGUGUGUGUGUGUGUGUGAGCGUGUGUGUAUGUGAUUUUGUG
ensembl:lncRNA